rnacentral:rRNA from 1 species
AUUGAACGCUGGCGGCAGGCCUAACACAUGCAAGUCGAACGAGUGGCGGACGGGUGAGUAAGGUGUGGGAAAAUGCCUGAUGGAGGGGGAUUACUACUGGAAACGGUAGCUAAUAACGCAUACAAUCAAAUGUUCCCCGAUGGAAUUAGCUAGUGGGUGGGGUAAAGGUUCACAUAGGCGACGAUCACUAGCUGGUCUGAGCGGGUGCCCAGCCACACUGGAACUGUGACACGGCCCAGACUGCUACGGGAGGCAGCAGUGGGGAAUAUGGGACGAUGGAGUGAAGCCUGAUGCAGCAAGGCCGCGUGUAUGAAGAAGGCCGUCGGUGUGUAAAGUACUGGCAUUGGGGAUGCGUUACCCGCAGAAGAAGCAACGGCUAACUCCGUGCCAGCAGCCGCGGUAAUUC